rnacentral:rRNA from 1 species
CAGUCGACGAUGAACCACUUCGGUGGGGAUUAGUGGCGAACGGGUGAGUAACACGUGGGCAAUCUGCCCUGCACUCUGGGACAAGCCCUGGAAACGGGGUCUAAUACCGGAUACUGAUCCUCUUGGGCAUCCAAGGUGUUCGAAAGCUCCGGCGGUGCAGGAUGAGCCCGCGGCCUAUCAGCUUGUUGGUGAGGUAAUGGCUCACCAAGGCGACGACGGGUAGCCGGCCUGAGAGGGCGACCGGCCACACUGGGACUGAGACACGGCCCAGACUCCUACGGGAGGCAGCAGUGGGGAAUAUUGCACAAUGGGCGAAAGCCUGAUGCAGCGACGCCGCGUGAGGGAUGACGGCCUUCGGGUUGUAAACCUCUUUCAGCAGGGAAGAAGCGAAAGUGACGGUACCUGCAGAAGAAGCGCCGGCUAACUACGUGCCAGCAGCCGCGGUAAUACGUAGGGCGCGAGCGUUGUCCGGAAUUAUUGGGCGUAAAGAGCUCGUAGGCGGCUUGUCACGUCGGUUGUGAAAGCCCGGGGCUUAACCCCGGGUCUGCAGUCGAUACGGGCAGGCUAGAGUUCGGUAGGGGAGAUCGGAAUUCCUGGUGUAGCGGUGAAAUGCGCAGAUAUCAGGAGGAACACCGGUGGCGAAGGCGGAUCUCUGGGCCGAUACUGACGCUGAGGAGCGAAAGCGUGGGGAGCGAACAGGAUUAGAUA